AUACGUAGGGGGCGAGCGUUGUCCGGAAUGAUUGGGCGUAAAGGGCGCGUAGGCGGCCUGUUAAGUCUGGAGUGAAAGUCCUGUUUUCAAGAUGGGAAUUGCUUUGGAUACUGAUGGGCUUGAGUGCAGGAGAGGUUAUCGGAAUUCCCGGUGUAGCGGUGAAAUGCGUAGAGAUCGGGAGGAACACCAGUGGCGAAGGCGGGUAACUGGACUGCAACUGACGCUGAGGCGCGAAAGUGUAGGGAGCAAACAGGAUUAGAUACCCUGGUAGUCCACAUUGUAAACGAUGAAUGCUAGGUGUAAGAGGUAUCGACCCCUUUUGUGCCGGAGUUAACACAAUAAGCAUUCCGCCUGGGGAGUACGGCCGCAAGGUUGAAACUCAAAUGAAUUGGCGGG
rnacentral:rRNA from 1 species